CAGACAUGACUGCGAGUUCGCGGAGUGGGAUGCCUUGGGAAGGGCUGGGACGUCUCCACCCGAGCAAGGAGAGAUCCCAGUGAGUGGAGAAGGGACUUUUCAAGCCUGUGAGUUCCUUCUUGCAGUUGGCUACUGCCUGCCUGGACUUGCCGUCUGACGUCUCCAGGUUUCUCCAGGAGGGUCCCGACCUGCUUCUCCGGUGGCUGCAGAGAAGAGGCAGCUUUGGCUCAAGAACACAGAGGGUUUCUGCAUCGCUUCGAAUCACGCCGGUCCAGCGAUGGGGAGGGGGCCAGCGCAACACAGGGAGUCAGGGGAUCAUCCCGCAUCACUCCUCUACGUUGUCUUCGGUGCCCUAAAUACCCCAGAGCAGGCCCACAGUGCUUAGGCAGAGGGAUCUGAGCAAGGCACUGUCUCACCUGGCAAAAUACCGGGUGUGUGAAGGUUGGAGGGAGCUUUUAGCACCUGGCUUUGCUCAUGGAGCAGAGCUCGGCCCUUGCCGCUCUUCAUCCCUGGGUGUGUGGAGCUGCGGGAGCGCAGCCAUCCCGACGGCGCUGUGCUCGGGGCCCAGAAGACCGUGAGUCUGUCCGGGCCAAGCAUCCCUGCUGCUGUUUUAUUGCACCCUCUCUGUUCCUGUAAGAGAAACGUACUGGCUGUAAUUCUCUCCCGUUAAAAUCCCCCCGCCCCGUGCACUGUUGAAAAUAAACUCUCCCUUUUGCAAAA